rnacentral:rRNA from 1 species
CUUUAGUCCCUAUUUCGUUGGUUCACGAACUUAAUUAAUGAUGAAUAGAAACGGUUGGGGACAUUUGUAUUUGGUCGCUAGAGGUGAAAUUCUUGGAUUGACCGAGAACAAACUACUGCGAAAGCAUUUGAUCCAGGACGUUUUCCUUGAUCAAGGUCUAAAGUUAAGGGAUCCAAAACGAUUAGAUACCGUCCUAAUCUUAACCACUAACUAUGCCGACUAGAGAUUGGGCUGGUUUAUUAUGACUAGCUCACCCUCUUACCUAAAGUAAAGUUUUUGGGUUCUGGGGGGAGUAUGGGACGCACGGCUGAAACAUAAAGGAAUUGACGGAAGGGCACCACCCGGAGUGGAGCCUGCCUCUUAAUUUGACUCACCCCGGGGAAACUCACCAGGUCCAGACAUACACAGGAUUGACAGAUUGAAAGCUCUUUCUUGAUUCUUUGGGUGGGGGGGCAUGGCCGUUCUUACUUCGUGGAGGGAUUUGUCUGGUUAAUUCCGAUAACUAACGAAACCUUAUUCUGCUAAAUAGGCAGGGCAACUUUUUAGUUGAUUAAUAGAUUUAUCUAUCUGGCUUCUUAGAUAGACUAUCGACUGCAAGCCGAAGGAAGUACUAGGCAGUAACACGUCUGUGAUGCCCUUACAUGUUCUGGGCCGCACUCGCGCUACACUGAUGAAGACACCUAGUCUAUA